rnacentral:rRNA from 1 species
GACGAACGCUGGCGGCGUGCCUAAUACAUGCAAGUCGAACGCUGAAGGAGGAGCUUGCUUCUCCGGAUGAGUUGCGAACGGGUGAGUAACGCGUAGGUAACCUGCCUGGUAGCGGGGGAUAACUAUUGGAAACGAUAGCUAAUACCGCAUAACAGUAGAUGUUGCAUGACAUUUGCUUAAAAGGUGCAAUUGCAUCACUACCAGAUGGACCUGCGUUGUAUUAGCUAGUUGGUGAGGUAACGGCUCACCAAGGCGACGAUACAUAGCCGACCUGAGAGGGUGAUCGGCCACACUGGGACUGAGACACGGCCCAGACUCCUACGGGAGGCAGCAGUAGGGAAUCUUCGGCAAUGGACGGAAGUCUGACCGAGCAACGCCGCGUGAGUGAAGAAGGGUGUCGGAUCGUAAAGCUCUGUUGUAAGAGAAGAACGAGUGUGAGAGUGGAAAGUUCACACUGUGACGGUAGCUUACCAGAAAGGGACGGCUAACUACGUG